rnacentral:rRNA from 1 species
AGAGUUUGAUCAUGGCUCAGGACGAACGCUGGCGGCACGCUUAACACAUGCAAGUCGAACGAGAGAAGAGGAGCUUGCUUUUCUGAUCUAGUGGCGGACGGGUGAGUAACACGUGAGCAAUCUGCCUUUCAGAGGGGGAUACCGAUUGGAAACGAUCGUUAAUACCGCAUAACAUAAUUGAACCGCGUGAUUUGAUUAUCAAAGAUUUAUCGCUGAAAGAUGAGCUCGCGUCUGAUUAGCUAGUUGGUAAGGUAACGGCUUACCAAGGCGACGAUCAGUAGCCGGACUGAGAGGUUGAUCGGCCACAUUGGGACUGAGACACGGCCCAGACUCCUACGGGAGGCAGCAGUGGGGAAUAUUGCACAAUGGAGGGAACUCUGAUGCAGCGAUGCCGCGUGAGGGAAGAAGGUUUUAGGAUUGUAAACCUCUGUCUUCAGGGACGAAAAAAGACGGUACCUGAGGAGGAAGCUCCGGCUAACUACGUGCCAGCAGCCGCGGUAAUACGUAGGGAGCGAGCGUUGUCCGGAAUUACUGGGUGUAAAGGGAGCGUAGGCGGGAUCGCAAGUCAGAUGUGAAAACUAUGGGCUUAACCCAUAAACUGCAUUUGAAACUGUGGUUCUUGAGUGAAGUAGAGGUAAGCGGAAUUCCUAGUGUAGCGGUGAAAUGCGUAGAUAUUAGGAGGAACAUCAGUGGCGAAGGCGGCUUACUGGGCUUUAACUGACGCUGAGGCUCGAAAGCGUGGGGAGCAAACAGGAUUAGAUACCCUGGUAGUCCACGCCGUAAACGAUGAUUACUAGGUGUGGGGGGACUGACCCCUUCCGUGCCGCAGCAAACGCAAUAAGUAAUCCACCUGGGGAGUACGACCGCAAGGUUGAAACUCAAAGGAAUUGACGGGGGCCCGCACAAGCAGUGGAGUAUGUGGAUUAAUUCGAAGCAACGCGAAGAACCUUACCAGGUCUUGACAUCGUAUGCAUAGCUCAGAGAUGAGUGAAAUCUCUUCGGAGACAUAUAGACAGGUGGUGCAUGGUUGUCGUCAGCUCGUGUCGUGAGAUGUUGGGUUAAGUCCCGCAACGAGCGCAACCCCUACUGUUAGUUGCUACGCAAGAGCACUCUAGCAGGACUGCCGUUGACAAAACGGAGGAAGGUGGGGAUGACGUCAAAUCAUCAUGCCCCUUAUGACCUGGGCCUCGCACGUACUACAAUGGCUGUCAACAGAGGGAAGCAAAGCCGCGAGGUGGAGCGAACCCCUAAAAGCAGUCUUAGUUCGGAUUGUAGGCUGCAACCCGCCUACAUGAAGUCGGAAUUGCUAGUAAUCGCAGAUCAGCAUGCUGCGGUGAAUACGUUCCCGGGCCUUGUACACGCCGCCCGUCACGCCAUGGGAGUCGGUAACACCCGAAGCCUGUAGUCUAACCGCAAGGAGGACGCAGACGAAGGUGGGAUUGAUGACUGGGGUGAAGUCGUAACAAGGUA